rnacentral:snRNA from 1 species
GAGCCAAAAAGUCGGGGAUCAUCCGAACAAACUGAUACGAUCUGGUGAGGUUAGCAUGGCCCAGGAGCAAGGAUGACACGCACAAGUCGAGAAGUUUACCAAAUUUUA